GACGAACGCUGGCGGCGUGCCUAACACAUGCAAGCCUGGGAGAAGAGAGUAGCAAUACUUUUGUACACCGGCGCACGGGUGAGUAAUAUAUAGGUAACCUGCCCUUUGGUUUGGGAUAACUCGUCGAAAGGCGAGCUAAUACUGAACGACGCUAUGAUUCCACAUGGGAUUAUAGUUAAAGCCUUCGGGCGCCAAGGGGAUGGGCCUGUAUCCCAUUAGAUAGUUGGUGAGGUAACGGCUCACCAAGUCAAUGAUGGGUAGCUGAUCUGAGAGGAUGAUCAGCCACACUGGAACUGAGACACGGUCCAGACUCCUACGGGAGGCAG
rnacentral:rRNA from 1 species